GCAUAGCUCAUUGGUAGAGCAUCUACUUUGCAUGCUGAAGGGCCUAGGUCCAAUCGCUGGCAUCUCCA